AUGAACGCUAGCUACAGGCUUAACACAUGCAAGUCGAGGGGCAGCAUGGUCUUAGCUUGCUAAGGCCGAUGGCGACCGGCGCACGGGUGAGUAACACGUAUCCAACCUGCCGUCUACUCUUGGACAGCCUUCUGAAAGGAAGAUUAAUACAAGAUGGCAUCAUGAGUCCGCAUGUUCACAUGAUUAAAGGUAUUCCGGUAGACGAUGGGGAUGCGUUCCAUUAGAUAGUAGGCGGGGUAACGGCCCACCUAGUCUUCGAUGGAUAGGGGUUCUGAGAGGAAGGUCCCCCACAUUGGAACUGAGACACGGUCCAAACUCCUACGGGAGGCAGCAGUGAGGAAUAUUGGUCAAUGGGCGAGAGCCUGAACCAGCCAAGUAGCGUGAAGGAUGACUGCCCUAUGGGUUGUAAACUUCUUUUAUAAAGGAAUAAAGUCGGGUAUGGAUACCCGUUUGCAUGUACUUUAUGAAUAAGGAUCGGCUAACUCCGUGCCAGCAGCCGCGGUAAUACGGAGGAUCCGAGCGUUAUCCGGAUUUAUUGGGUUUAAAGGGAGCGUAGAUGGAUGUUUAAGUCAGUUGUGAAAGUUUGCGGCUCAACCGUAAAAUUGCAGUUGAUACUGGAUAUCUUGAGUGCAGUUGAGGCAGGCGGAAUUCGUGGUGUAGCGGUGAAAUGCUUAGAUAUCACGAAGAACUCCGAUUGCGAAGGCAGCCUGCUAAGCUGCAACUGACAUUGAGGCUCGAAAGUGUGGGUAUCAAACAGGAUUAGAUACCCUGGUAGUCCACACGGUAAACGAUGAAUACUCGCUGUUUGCGAUAUACGGCAAGCGGCCAAGCGAAAGCGUUAAGUAUUCCACCUGGGGAGUACGCCGGCAACGGUGAAACUCAAAGGAAUUGACGGGGGCCCGCACAAGCGGAGGAACAUGUGGUUUAAUACGAUGAUACGCGAGGAACCUUACCCGAGCUAAGAUUGCAGAUGAAUUGCAGUGAGAACCGUAGGCCGCAAGGCAUCUGUGAAGGUGCUGCAUGGUUGUCGUCAGCUCGUGCCGUGAGGUGUCGGCUUAAGUGCCAUAACGAGCGCAACCCUUGUUGUCAGUUACUAACAGGUUCUGCUGAGGACUCUGACAAGACUGCCAUCGUAAGAUGUGAGGAAGGUGGGGAUGACGUCAAAUCAGCACGGCCCUUACGUCCGGGGCUACACACGUGUUACAAUGGGGGGUACAGAGGGCCGCUACCACGCGAGUGGAUGCCAAUCCCCAAAACCUCUCUCAGUUCGGACUGGAGUCUGCAACCCGACUCCACGAAGCUGGAUUCGCUAGUAAUCGCGCAUCAGCCACGGCGCGGUGAAUACGUUCCCGGGCCUUGUACACACCGCCCGUCAAGCCAUGGGAGCCGGGGGUACCUGAAGUGCGUAACCGCGAGGAGCGCCCUAGGGUAAAACUGGUGACUGGGGCU
rnacentral:rRNA from 1 species